AGAAUCAACGCUGGCGGCGUGCCUAACACAUGCAAGUCGAACGAGAAAGGGGAGCAAUCCCUGAGUAAAGUGGCGACCGGGUGAGUAACACGUGACUAACCUACCCUCGAGUGUGGAAUAACAUCGGGAAACCGAUGCUAAUACCGCAUAACAUCGGCGCUUUUAAGAGAUGCCGAUCAAAGGAGCAAUCCGCUUGAGGAGGGGGUCGCGGCUGAUUAGCUAGUUGGCGGGGUAACGGCCACCAAGGCGAAGAUCGGUAGCCGGCCUGAGAGGGCGCACGGCCACACUGGAACUGAAACACGGUCCAGACUCCUACGGAGGCAGCAGUGGGGAAUUUUGCGCAAAUGGGGGAAACCCUGACGCAGCAACGCCGCGUGGAGGAUGAAGCCCCUUGGGGCGUAAACUCCUUUCGACCAAGACGAUAAUGACGGUACUGGUGGAAGAAGACACCGGCUAACUCUGCGCCAGCAGCCGC
rnacentral:rRNA from 1 species